CAGCAGCCGCGGGAAUACGGAGGGUGCAAGCGUUAAUCGGAAUUACUGGGCGUAAAGCGCACGCAGGCGGUCUGUCAAGUCAGAUGUGAAAUCCCCGGGCUUAACCUGGGAACUGCAUUUGAAACUGGCAGGCUAGAGUCUUGUAGAGGGGGGUAGAAUUCCAGGUGUAGCGGUGAAAUGCGUAGAGAUCUGGAGGAAUACCGGUGGCGAAGGCGGCCCCCUGGACAAAGACUGACGCUAAGGUGCGAAAGCGUGGGGAGCAAACAGGAUUAGAUACCCGUGUAGUCCCUGUCUCUUAUAA
rnacentral:rRNA from 1 species